ensembl:lncRNA
AUGGAAGACGCUCCAGUCGUUCGUCGGAGUUCUAGGAUCCGCUCGAAUAAGUUCAGUAGAAUCUGCCGGGGCAAGAAACCGGCAGACAGGAUGAUUUCCGUGCGCUGUUUCCAGUUCAGUGUGUGGACGACCAGGCUGGAUUAAAUGGCGUGGUUAUUUAUGAGAACGACAUUUUCCCCAUUUCAAAUCCCAGAUCUCAAAUCCCAGUAAGUUUCCUUAUUCCUCUCUCUCUUUUCUAUUUUUCUCAUUUUCAUUCUAAUAAAUGCCGGUAGCGUUAUUAACACCAACAGUGUAUUAUUCCCACACAGGAAUUUUAACGUAGGACUUUCUCCCCCCAUGUUUUGUAGCUUCCAGUUCAGUGUGUGGACGACCCGCUGCCUGAAAACGCCGUGGAGGUUUACGGAAACGAGGAAUUCCAGAAGAGAAAUCCGCUACCUGUAAGAUUCCUUUUGUAAUGGCUGCUCCUUUAAAACAAAAUGGGGCUGUUAAUUGAUUUGCGCUCCAGUCACGUGCCUCCUAUUGCAUUCUGGGUACUGACCAGUGACCUGUUUGGGAAAGGAAACUACUACUGCCACUGCUACUAGUACCACUAUUACUAUUGCUACUACUGCUGCUACUACUGCUAUUGCUACUACUGCUACUACUACUGCUACUACUGCUACCACUAUUACUACUGCUACUACUACUGCUACUACUACUACUGCUGCUACUACUACUGCUACUACUACUGCUACUACUGCUACUACUACUGCUACUACUACUACUACUACUACUACUGCUACUACUACUAUUACUGCUACUACUGCUACUGCUACUACUACUACUACUACUGCUACUACUGCUACUACUACUACUGCUAAAACUACUACUACUGCUGCUGCUGCUACUAUUACUACUACUACUACUACUACUGCUACUACUGCUACUACUACUGCUACUACUACUAUUACUGCUACUACUACUACUACUGCUGCUGCUGCUACUACUACUGCUACUACUACUACUACUGCUACUACUACUACUACUACUACUACUACUGCUGCUGCUGCUGCUGCUACUACUACUGCUACUACUACUGCUACUACUACUGCUACUACUACUACUACUACUACUACUACUACUGCUGCUGCUGCUGCUACUACUGCUGCUACUACUACUACUACUACUACUACUACUACUACUACUACUGCUACUACUACUACUGCUGCUGCUAAAACUACUACUACUGCUACUACUACUAUUACUACUACUACUCUACUACUGCUACUACUACUACUACUACUACUACUGCUGCUAAAACUACUACUACUGCUGCUACUACUAAUUCUGUUGAUUCAGGGGUCCAGGGUGUCAAAAACCCAACGAUACACAGAACAUCAGGAGCCCUUCAGCUCUGCUCUAACUGAAAAGGAAGCGGUGAUCAUACUACUUUUUUUCACUAAUUCCAUUGGUUUAUAAUAUCCUUGUUUUAUAGAUUUUAUUCAUUAAUAACACAAAACAAUUAAGGUAACAUUAAAGCGCACAAAUGUUGUUUUAACCUCACAGGAAUUUUAACGUAGGUCUUUCUCCCCCAUGUUUUGUAGCUUCCAGUUCCGUGUGUCGACGACCCGCUGGGUUUAAAUGCUGUUGUAGCUACCGAAGAUCAGACUUUCUCCAUGCCAUAUCAGCCACCUGAGAAUGUCCUCAUUGUCUUACCCAUUGUGAAUACACAUGUUUAUAUAGUUAGUACGAUCAUAUUAGUCGUAAUAUACUUAUCAUGAACGAUUUUUGUUUUGUUUUACGAUUUAAUACAAUAAAUGUCUGUAAUAAAACUGUGUGUAAUGUGUUGUUUGUGGUAAGCUAAGCCAUUAGCUAAUUAGCGACUCUGACUAUCUACCCACAUCUUUCUCCAACUCUUUACAGAAUUCAAGCUCCGUUUUAGACUUCGUGUCACCUUGGUGUUGUAAGAGCUGCUACAGCCUAUAGGAAAAUGUGUAAGGAGCAUUUUCAUAAUGGAGGUGGUGUUCACUUUAGAAUAGCUCACUUUGUCCGUUGAGAUCCGGGGCUCCAGAUGGCCACUAAAAUGGUCGCCAAUGCGACUAACUUUUUAAUUUUGCGGCCAUGUUUUUUCUGCCAGUCGCCAGUGGCCACCGUUACCCACAAACAAAACUUAAAAACAAAUAGAAAUGACCAUACGUCGUGGUGUGCUCGGCUACUGAACUCUCAUCUCCUGUUGCGCCUGCGUCUACCCGCCCUAUCACGUGCACACCCGCCCUAUCACGUGCACACCCGCCCUAUCACGUGCACACCUGCAUGGUUUCCAAUAGAUAAACUCCGCACUCUUGUCCUGCAGUGGUUGAAGCGUCAGCUGUACAGAGGAACAGAAACAGGUUUAACGUCACGUUUAUCGGGUUAAAAAGUUCGGAAGUGUUAACUCUGUUAAAGGUGUUUGAUUCGGUUCGAUCUGGUUUAGUCCGUUGGAAUGUGAAUGUAUCGAGUUAUAUGUAGGCUAGCUAACUGCGCAGUUAACUAACAUUAGCCAGCUGAGAAGAAAAAAACGAAAUGCGCAAACAAAAAAUAUCAGUAAACAAAGGCAGACAGUACAGAAGGGAAAGAAAAGGCAGUGUGAGGUAGCCGUCUACCAAUGACUACGUUUACAUGGACGGCAGUAAUCUAAUUAUUGACCUUACUCUGAGUAAGAUAAUACUGUGAUUGAGGUGUUUACAUGCGUCGCUUUUAGAAUACUCCCGUCAUGUUCCCGUUUUACAUGCUUUAGAACAUAAUUAUAUUAA